rnacentral:lncRNA from 1 species
UGUAAUUAUUUCAAUGAGAAAUUCCUGCGAACUCCUCUUGUCUCCUUAUGUCUGCUUCCUCUCAGCGAGUCACAAUGUGUUUCCAUGGCAACUCUGUUGCUAAGGGGGGACCCUGUAAGUACAUCAGCGUGUUAUCUGCAGCAUUGAGAUGGUGUUAGCCCAAGAAGCCAGGUUGGCUGGAAUAUUUAGAUUUAAUUUAGUGCCAUUUUCUUUCAUCUACUCACAAUGCAUUCACCAGAAACUGUUAGAGAUUGUCCCUGUGAGAAGGAGAACUAUGGCCACUUCCUAGAGCUCCUGACUCUGUAUAAUGAAAGAGGACCUUCCUGUUCAUACUAUGGUGGUUGUCUUUGAUCAGAAAACCCCUGAAAACCUUAUGCGGGACUCAUCCAGUGCAAACUGGGAAAACGUACUGCAUCAGGAGACAGGCCUUCCUAGCUACCUUGGGCACCCACUGCCUUGGAAGAGCCAUGCUGACACCAAAUCUCCAACCCUUCAGCUACAUGCGUGGUGACGAAAGGGAAGUACCAGCCAGAUGCAAUUCUCAAUGCCUCAGCCGAUCCCCACCAGGGGGCCUGUUCUGGGGCCACCUGGUGAAAUCGAGAAGCCAGGAUGCUGAAGCGCCAGGAGAGGCAGCCACAACUGGCCAGGGCAAGCCCAGCCACCCAGGAACUCUCAGGCCAGCACACUGGCUGCACAAUGCUGCCUCAGAUGGUGAGUGCUCAUGAGGAAGAAGAUGAGGAAAUAGAUGGUAAAUAGAUCAUUGGCCCAAUCACCCAAUAGGUAGACUUACAAAAAUCUUUUUAAGUCAUAUAU